ACAUCCAGAGAACUUAGCAGAGAUGCUUUGGUGCCUUCGGGAACUCUGAGACAGGUGCUGCAUGGCUGUCGUCAGCUCGUGUUGUGAAAUGUUGGGUUAAGUCCCGCAACGAGCGCAACCCUUAUCCUUUGUUGCCAGCGGCUCGGCCGGGAACUCAAAGGAGACUGCCGGUGAUAAACCGGAGGAAGGUGGGGAUGACGUCAAGUCAUCAUGGCCCUUACGGCCAGGGCUACACACGUGCUACAAUGGCGCAUACAAGGAGAAGCGACCUCGCGAGAGCAAGCGGACCUCAUAAAGUGCGUCGUAGUCCGGAUUGGAGUCUGCAACUCGACUCCAUGAAGUCGGAAUCGCUAGUAAUCGUAGAUCAGAAUGCUACGGUGAAUACGUUCCCGGGCCUUGUACACACCGCCCGUCACACCAUGGGAGUGGGUUGCAAAAGAAGUAGGUAGCUUAACCUUCGGGAGGGCGCUUACCACUUUGUGAUUCAUGACUGGGGUGAAGUCGUAACAAGGUAAGCGUAGACGU
rnacentral:rRNA from 1 species